AGUUGAUCUCUUGCUUCUUGGAUUUGUUUACGUAAUUCAUUGUUGAAGUGAUCUUUCAUUGUCUGAUUUUGCUGUUUAAUGUCUUCCUUGAGACUCCAGAUCAUCUGAAGCAUGUAUAUCCUGAAUUCUUUAUCUGACAUUCCAUCUGCUGCAGCUAUUACCUCUUCUAAAGUUGCGUUGACCUGCAUUGCUUGUGGUCCUUUCUUUCCUUGUUUCUUCAUACUGUCCGCAUUUCUUUCUGCUUGGUGAAACUGUUGUGUUAUUGAAUUUUCCCCCUAUAUAUUUAUAUUGUUCUUGUAUAGUUGCAAAUUCUCCCUCACAGGCAUGGGUGGCGGCUCUGCCCCUCCUCCAGUUGGGGCAAUGUGCCUACCAUGCCAGCAGGCCGCUGGGUCUGUUCUUCCAGUUGGUAGCAGGUCUGCCUACCUUGCAGGCGCAGGCGGUGGCUCUGCUCCUCUGUGGGCCACUGGGCCUGUUCUGUCGGUGGUUGCAGUUCCGCCUACUUUGCAGGCGCGG
rnacentral:lncRNA from 1 species